AUGCAGUCGAACGAGUGCCUUCGGGUGCUAGUGGCGCACGGGUGCGUAACGCGUGGGAAUCUGCCUUUCGGUACGGAAUAACUCAGGGAAACUUGUGCUAAUACCGUAUGAUGUCGCGAGACCAAAGAUUUAUCGCCGAAAGAUGAGCCCGCGUAGGAUUAGCUAGUUGGUGGGGUAAAGGCCUACCAAGGCGACGAUCCUUAGCUGGUCUGAGAGGAUGAUCAGCCACACUGGGACUGAGACACGGCCCAGACUCCUACGGGAGGCAGCAGUGGGGAAUAUUGGACAAUGGGCGAAAGCCUGAUCCAGCAAUGCCGCGUGAGUGAUGAAGGCCUUAGGGUUGUAAAGCUCUUUUACCCGGGAAGAUAAUGACUGUACCGGGAGAAUAAGCCCCGGCUAACUCCGUGCCAGCAGCCGCGGUAAUACGGAGGGGGCUAGCGUUGUUCGGAAUUACUGGGCGUAAAGCGUACGUAGGCGGCUUUGUAAGUUAGAGGUGAAAGCCUGAUGCUCAACAUCAGAAUUGCCUUUAAGACUGCAUCGCUUGAACGUCGGAGAGGUGAGUGGAAUUCCGAGUGUAGAGGUGAAAUUCGUAGAUAUUCGGAAGAACACCAGUGGCGAAGGCGGCUCACUGG
rnacentral:rRNA from 1 species